rnacentral:rRNA from 1 species
GAUGAACGCUGGCGGCGUGCCUAAUACAUGCAAGUCGAGCGAACAGACGAGGAGCUUGCUCCUCUGACGUUAGCGGCGGACAGGUGAGUAACACGUGGAUAACCUACCUAUAAGACUGGGAUAACUUCGGGAAACCGGAGCUAAUACCGGAUAAUAUAUUGAACCGCAUGGUUCAAUAGUGAAAGACGGUUUUGCUGUCACUUAUAGAUGGAUCCGCGCCGCAUUAGCUAGUUGGUAAGGUAACGGCUUACCAAGGCAACGAUGCGUAGCCGACCUGAGAGGGUGAUCGGCCACACUGGAACUGAGACACGGUCCAGACUCCUACGGGAGGCAGCAGUAGGGAAUCCUCCGCAAUGGGCGAAAGCCUGACGGAGCAACGCCGCGUGAGUGAUGAAGGUCUUCGGAUCGUAAAACUCUGUUAUUAGGGAAGAACAAAUGUGUAAGUAACUAUGCACGUCUUGACGGUACCUAAUCAGAAAGCCACGGCUAACUACGUG